ACCAUCACCCGACGCCUACUUUCCUCUUGUUGGACUGGUAUGUGUCUCUCGCAGUGAUGGAAAAGGUGUCUAACCAAUCAACUGUGCUCAAACUUGACCAAAUUCUAUAUUCAAAUCAGCUAAGAAAUUCAAAACUCUAUCUUCAGUCACAAACUUUUGAUAAACAGCUGCAUCUUCUAGACAUUUGGCGGGAAAAAAUCUGAUAAUGAUCAAGCUCCUGCCAAAGAGCAUUAAUUUCUGCAAAAUACUAUGCCACAAACUUCUCUCCUUAACCCAACUCAUGGAUUUGUUUAUGGAUAUCACACGCUUUAGACAUAUCAUCAGAAACAGAAAAGGUUAAAGAAAUAGUCUCCCAAAGUUCAUAUGCAGUGUCUAAGAACAUGUAACUACUUCACAUACUUGGUUCCAUUGAGUUAAAGAUCUAUGUUUUCACCAUGGAGUUAUCAAAUUUUUAUUCUUCUUGGGCUAUACAUGCUUGUGUAGGCAUGGUUGUUGUACCAUUGAUGAAGUGUUGCAUACAGUUAGCUUUAAUUGACAUACGACAUGCUUGAGAUCAAGCUAGAUAAUUAUUUUCAUCCAACUUAAAUGGGCUGAGAACCAAAGCAGAGUUAAGAUGAUGAUUCCUAAUCAACUGCCUUUUAUUUGUCUGAGGAGAACCACCGCUAUUAAUGGAACUAGACUCUUCCAUAAUAAUGUCGUAGGAGCAACAAAUGUAUCGGAGGAAAUAUCUACAUGGAUGGUUUAAAACCUCAAAAGGAACCUGAGCAUAGCAGUAUCACAAACAAAACCCUAGUCGCAAGCAAUACAGUAGACACAAAGACUACUGUCAAAUAAAGCCUUAAUAAACCUGGAUCAAUCCCUACAAAAUCACUG
rnacentral:lncRNA from 1 species